AGAACGAACGCUGGCGGCAGGCCUAACACAUGCAAGUCGAACGCCGUAGCAAUACGGAGUGGCAGACGGGUGAGUAACGCGUGGGAACAUACCCUUCGGUUCGGAAUAACUCAGGGAAACUUGAGCUAAUACCGGAUACGUCCGAGGUUUUAAUCGACCUUGGAGAAAGAUUUAUCGCCGGAGGAUUGGCCCGCGUCUGAUUAGCUUGUUGGUGAGGUAAUGGCUCACCAAGGCGACGAUCAGUAGCUGGUCUGAGAGGAUGAUCAGCCACAUUGGGACUGAGACACGGCCCAAACUCCUACGGGAGGCAGCAGUGGGGAAUAUUGGACAAUGGGCGAAAGCCUGAUCCAGCCAUGCCGCGUGAGUGAUGAAGGCCUUAGGGUGUAAAGCUCUUUACCGGGAAGAUAUGACGGUACCGGGAGAAUAACGCCCGGCUAACUACGUGCCAGCAGCCGC
rnacentral:rRNA from 1 species